rnacentral:tRNA from 1 species
GCCUCUUUAGCUCAGUUGGUAGAGCAACGCAUUCGUAAUGCGUGGGUCGCAGGUUCAAGUCCUGUAAGAGGCU